AUUGAACGCUGGCGGCAGGCCUAACACAUGCAAGUCGAGCGGAUGAAGGGAGCUUGCUCCUGGAUUCAGCGGCGGACGGGUGAGUAAUGCCUAGGAAUCUGCCUGGUAGUGGGGGAUAACGUCCGGAAACGGGCGCUAAUACCGCAUACGUCCUGAGGGAGAAAGUGGGGGAUCUUCGGACCUCACGCUAUCAGAUGAGCCUAGGUCGGAUUAGCUAGUUGGUUGGGUAAAGGCCUACCAAGGCGACGAUCCGUAACUGGUCUGAGAGGAUGAUCAGUCACACUGGAACUGAGACACGGUCCAGACUCCUACGGGAGGCAGCAGUGGGGAAUCUUGGACAAUGGGCGAAAGCCUGAUCCAGCCAUGCCGCGUGUGUGAAGAAGGUCUUCGGAUUGUAAAGCACUUUAAGUUGGGAGGAAGGGCAGUAAGUUAAUACCUUGCUGUUUUGACGUUACCAACAGAAUAAGCACCGGCUAACUUCGUG
rnacentral:rRNA from 1 species